UCCAUGAGGAUGGUGGAACCCCUGGUUAGGGUGGGCCGCGUGGUGUCUCUGGUUUCUGAACAUUUUCUUUCCAAACAAUCCUUGGAUGCUUGCAAGAGCGGUGGUCUUUGAAUCUCAAAGUUGAUUCUCUCUGGCAAACACCCGCCUUCAAGAACUUUUACGGGUUCCCAGCUGGCGGACCGCGGUCCGGGUCCAGACCCCGAGAACCUUUAUCUGGGCCGCCAAGCAUUUUUAGUAGAAAAAAAAAA